ensembl:lncRNA
CCAGCACCAUGAGGCUGUCCUCCAUGCUGGCGAUGACCUCCGACGUGCUGUCCCCCCGCGCAGCAGCAGCUCCCCGCGGGCCUUGAAGUGGGCGAAGGUGAAGGUCUUGUUGUCCCACUCGGCGAUCACCUGCUUCAGCUUCUGCUCGAUGUCCCGCUCCUUCACCGCGCUGAUGCAGAUGUCCUGCGCCGCGGGGGUUACAGGGUGUACACGAGUAGGAACGCAAACUGUCUCGUAACCAGGGGUUACCACCACCGACGCAGCGGAGCCUCCAUGAUGUUGCGGAGCUUGAAGGUGUCGGACUCCACCUCAAAGAAACCUCAGUGAUCCGUUUCCAAUGGCGGCUCAUCAUGGCGCGGUUGGUCAUGAGCUCCAGCAGGGGGCAGCACUCGCUGAACUCGUCGAUGGUCUUCUUCAGGUCCAGGAAGGCCUGCCAUUCCUUCAGGGCCCGGGGCAGUUUGCGGCACCUGGGUCAGAAAGGGGGUUGUCAUGGUUACUAAGUGGAUAUCCUGAU